UCCCCGCGAGCCUAAACCCACACACGUGUCGACACGAUGGCCUGGGUGCCCGGAAUCUUCAGGAUUCUCGGGUUGGUCAUUGGGAUACGUGGAGGCCCAAC
rnacentral:sRNA from 1 species